CGUAUGCGCAGAAAUCCCGUCUCCGGCUCUCCUGUCUGACAUAUAUUAUGCUCGAUGCUAGGAUUUUCCGUCGCAGCUGGCUGAUAACGGCGCAACAUCAUGGCGGUUAGCGACAAGAAGCCGAUGUCACGUCUAAUGAAACUCGCCAACAAAUUCAAUUGCUUCUACCUGUCAGGUUUUCAUGCAGGAGAAUGCAGAGCAUUUGUCGUCGAUGGACAACAAGUUGGCCUUGUACGUCCAGAUGUAAUGAAGGAAAUAUUGAAUUAUCCUCAAGUAUUCCAAGUACAACCCGAAUACGUGCAGUUGAAUCCAGCUUUUCGAGAUUACGCUGAGAGAAGCGCACAUGUCGAUGAGGUAUUGAGGGAAUGGAAAGCAGGCGGGAAAUUUAUAACGCUACGCGGUUGGAGGGACGAAUGUCACGAGGUUCGGGCUCAAUUUAACACAAUCUCGUUGCUUAAGAUGGAUCGCUCGGCUACGUGCUUAUUUGGAAUCCGGAAGUACGGUGUGGACAUAAACGGUUACGUAAUGGAUCCUGUCAAGGGCUUGUCAAUAUGGUUACAAAAACGUAGUCCGAACAAACAAACGUGGCCGGCGUACUGGGACAGCAUGGUGAGCGGCGGCUUAACCGUUGGCUAUGGCAUAAACGAGACCGCGAUAAAGGAGGCAUUCGAGGAAGCUGGAAUCCCAAAUAAUCUAAUCGCCAAACUCAAGAGCGCCGGAUGUGUUUCCUUCUUUUUUGAGAGCGAGAGAGGUCUGUUCCCCAACACGGAAUUCGUAUACGAUCUUGAACUGCCGUCUGAUUUCAUACCGAGCAACAGCGACGGAGAAGUGGAAACCUUCGAGUUACUUCCCGUUAGUGAAUGUUUAGAGAGGAUACUCUCCCCGCACUUCAAGACCACGUCUGUACCGGUUGCCCUUGACUUCUUAAUUAGACACGGAUACAUCACAGCAGAGAACGAGAUGGCUGCGAAGGAGCCGGACGCGAUCGACGACGGCAUUGCCGAGCCGGGGAUCGAGCCCGGCGCCUCCACGGAGACGAUGCUCGUCACCACCGACAGUUUCGACGAGUACGAGCAGGAGAUGAGUAGUAGCAUCGAUGACAGGCAGAUGAAGGAGAGCACCACCAGCACUAUCUCCGAGAUCCAGGAGGACGCCCGGGACAUUCCGACGACACCCACCACCACCAGCCCACGGGAGCCGGAGAAAACCUUGCCCCUCGACGACUCGGAAAUGGACGACGUGACGCACCGUCUGAGUCAGAGCAGCCUGGAUGGAGAUCCGUUGCACUGCAAGGCCUGGUUGGCGCAGAGGAAGCACAUCUUCAUCCUGAGUCAAGCUGGGAAGCCCAUAUAUUCCCGAUACUGCUCGGAGGACAAGCUAGUCACCCUUAUGGGGGUCAUGCAGGCUUUAGUGUCGUUCGUUCAAGACGGCAGCGACAUGAUUAGGUCGGUGCAUGCCGGCAACACAAACUUUGUUUUCGUCGUUAAGGGUCCAUUGAUCUUAGUGGCGGUAUCCAAGACCUUGGAGAGUGUACCUCAACUUACUUUACAGUUAACAUAUGUAUAUAAUCAGAUAAUCUCUGUGUUGACACAGUCUCAACUGAACAGAGUAUACGAUCAGAGGAGGAACUUUGAUUUGCGGAGAUUAUUAACUGGUAGCGAAAGACUGAUAGAUCAUUUACUAAACUUUAUGGAUAGAGAGCCAGCUUUCUUUCUAGGGGCCAUUAAAUGUCUGCCCCUACUACCUUCUAUGAGAAGUUCAAUUACACAGACUAUCAUUCAAACGUGUGCUAAGAUCAAGAAUUUAGUGUUCGCGAUACUUCUAGCUAACAACCAGCUGGUGACGCUAGUUAGGAUGAACAAAUUUUUCCUCCAUCCAAUGGAUCUACAUAUAAUACAGAAUCUGGUGGACAGCUCGGAGUCGCUUAAAACCGCCGAGAGCUGGACACCGAUAUGUCUGCCGAAAUUCGAUCCGAACGGAUACAUGCACGGCCACGUGUCGUAUCUGGCGGAGGAUUGUCAGGCGUGCCUGUUGUUACUCACCGUCGAUAGGGACGUGUUUUUCGUGUUAUCGGAAGCCAAACAAAAAAUCGUGGAGAAACUGCGACGGACCAAUUGCUUAGAAGCGAUCAACGAGUCCAUGAAUAAGCCGACGAUCACAACCGCCGAUAUCGGGCUGCCCGAGAUGCGGCACGUACUGUACAAGUGCAAGAGCACCGCUCAGUUUUGGAGCCCUGGGUUCCAGCCUCCUUACACUACGGACGAGGAAAUAGAACGAUUGCUAGGGCUCUAUCAGUGUUUGCAUCACAGAUUGCACUCUCCUAAUCGGCCGUUGAAGCUUAUAUUUCAGCAACUAGACAAAGAAACGAUGUUGGCAUGGGUGGCUUCCGGCUUCGAAUUAUAUGUAACUUUCGAGCCUCUAGUGACGAAACCAGACGCUAUCGAGGCAGUGAGCAAGUUGUUGAAAUGGAUCAAGAAGGAGGAAGAGAGGCUGUUUAUCUUGAAUUCGCCUACGUUUUGAACGAAUUGUCGGAUAUUACUUUUACGAGCAUAGAGGAAGUGAUACAGCGACAAUGAGAUGUGUAAGGAUUAGAAGUGCCGAAAGACCACACGGAAACGUUGGAGAUGUACUACAAAAGGAAUUCCAAAGCAGAGCGUUUUCGCAAUAAUUCUCGAAGUGCAAGAAUAUAAUUAUUAUUCGUCCAUUGUUGAAACGCGCUCCUGAUACAUUGUACAUCAUAAUUUUCACACCGAAGUCCUCCUCCUUUCGCACGGGCGCUAAAUACAUUCGGAGAACAUUCUGAAAAUAAGAAACACCAGGGAAAGUCGCUCGUUUAUUUUCAAUCAUUCUUUCGUUUAUCCCAUUUUUCGUAUAUAAACAACGCUCGAUAA